ensembl:lncRNA
GUAAGUGGGGGGCCAUUCAAUAACCCUUCAGCUGUCUUUCUCCCUCUCCAUUUUCCAGUCUGAGGUCAGAGCCUCCUGCUGUGCAGGCAGGAACGGCAGUGGCAGAGCAGCCCUUUAUAAGACUGCAAGAGAAGCUGCUUUGACGUGGACUCACUGGGGAAGGAGACAGCAGAAAUGAGAAGAGGCAGCCAAAGGUCACUCUGGCCUGCCAGCUGUAAAACCAAUCCAAGUGACACAACUGUAAAAUCCAGGGCUUGAGAGUGACCUCCUCCAGCUUCUAAUGGUGUAUUCAUUUACCCCUCCCCAUUGCUGCCUGCUCCCUUGCGCAGUGCCAGCAUGGAAGACUUAAGGCAGCCAGCGACUAACAAACUCACAGAACCGUAUGGGUUGGAAGGAAUUCCUGGAGAUCAUCUAGUCCUGCAUCCUGCAGGUUCCCUACACAGGAAAGCAUCCGGGUGGCCUUGAAUAUCUCCAGAAGAGGAGACUCCACAACCUCUCUGGGAAACUUGUUUCAGUUCUCUGUCACCCACACAGUACAGAAGUUUUUCCUCAUGUUCAGAUGGAACUUGCUGUGUUCCAGCUUGAGACAUUUGCUCCUUGUCCUGUUCAUGGGCAGCACUCGAAAGAGUCUGGAACCAUCCACUUGACACUCACCCUUCAGAUGAUUAUAAGCGUUCAUAUUAUCCCCUCUCAGUCUUCUCCAGUUUAAACAGUCCUAGCUGGUCUCCUAGCCUUUCCUCAUAAGAGAGGUGCUCCAUGCCCCUGACCAUCUUUGUCACCCUCUGCUGGACUCUCUCAGUAGUUUCUUGUCUUUCAUGAACUGAAGAGCUCAGAACUGGACACACUACUUCAGAUGUGGCCUCACAAGGACAGUGCAAAGGGGGAGAACAACCCUCAACCUGUUGGCCACAUUAUUUUAAUCCACCCCAGGAUAUCACUGGCCUUCUUGGCCACAAGGGCAAACUGCUGGCUCUUGGCCAACCUGUUGGCCACCAGAACACCUAUUUCCUUCUCCUUCAACUCAAAGCAGUCUGGAAACAAGAUUUCCUACUUCGCUCAUGUCCAUAUUGGGUCAUUUUAUGGCAAAAAGUCAGACUAGCAAGGUAACAGGAACAGCACAAUUAGAGGUAAUUAGCCCAACAGGAGAAUCGUUGCCACUGUAUCUAAGAAGUUGGCAAUAUGAGAAAGGUCAAAAUAGUCGCAGAAAUGGAUAUAUAAUUUUCCUAUUUAGAUCACAAGCUCUUUGGGGCUCACAGAAAGCCAAAUAAAAUGACCUCUUUUGUGGCCUUGGAGUACUGCCAUAAAAAAAAUGCAACAUAUCUAGUGAUAAAAAUAACAAUAAAGGUGACCUCAGUGAGGAAUCUCAAAUAGACGAGGACAAUAAUUUUAUUCAAGGGACAUGAACUUACUAUAGGCAUAAAGGACAAAAUUUCAGGAGCUUAAUUAUUAAUUUAAAGGAACAUUUGGCUGUGGGAUACUGUUAAAAUAAAUAACAACAGUCACACUCUUUAUCUCCUGAGUACAAUUUGGUGGGUCUAUGCUUGCAUUCACUCCCAAACUCUUACUUAUAAAUAAUUGGAAAGUGAAAAAGAUUCCUGUCCUCAGUAAACUUUAGCAAGCUUGCAGGAACUGGAGCAGUUAUUCAAAGAGAGAAAGGCCACACUGAAAUGUACAUCUGAUGCUAACCAGUAUCACAGACAGCUCUUUCACAGACAGCUCUAUCACCUGUCAGUAUUUCACUUGACACUCUUUGAACUGGGCAUCUUUCAGUUUGAUACUCCAUGGGUUCACUCAUGAGAAUGACUCAUUGGGAAGCACUCAUCUGGCCAAAGUCCUCUAGCACCAUUUAACACCCACAGAACUACUUUUACUCAGCAGACUCAGUGUGACUAAUGCCUGCUGAAAGCUGCCGUCUCCUUCAAAACUCUACACCUGAAAUGAAGAUGAGCAGUUUUGUAUUAGGCUAAUAGAAAUAACCUUGGGGAGUAGUUAUGCACUCAUUUCAAACACUUGAAAGAAGAACAAAAACUAUGAAGUUGCUAUUGAAGUAUAAUUAAGAUGGUGUUUUCAAGUACAGUACAUCUCCUCAAACUGGAGAAGUAAGGGAGUAAGAAUGGAACCACUUAAAAAGCAGUAAAAGCUCCACUGCAUGAGGCACUCUGCGUGUACAAAAUUAGAGGAUUAGAAACCAUUCAGCCAGUCCAGUGCCUGUGUAGACUGGGAUUUGUAAAGAGCUUCUUAAUGAUUUUCCAUUGAAGGAAGAGAGAGAGAAAAAAAAAAAAAAAAAAACAGGCUGAGAAAGGAAAAUACAUAUUCUUUUUCAGUCAUCUAGUUGGAACAAACCAAAGUCCAGCCUACUUCCUUCUGAAGCCUUUCUUGAAAACUAGAUAAAAAGAUUGAAGCUUCCUUUGUGGCUCUAGCAUAUAUUGUUUUUUGCUAAACUAGGGAGGUCCUGGGCUCUACUUACAAGCAAUUUCUUUUAUCAGUUAUUUUUAUGCCAUCAGAAAAGUUGGGAAAAAUUUAUUUUCUGGUGAAAAUUUCAAAUCUCAAAUAUUUUCUUGUCUGCAGAAGCCUCAUGUGUUCCCAUAUUUAUACUGUUAUCUCCACUGAUGAACAGCAGUCCUGGAAGCUCAGUGAAGCUUCCAGGAUCAUGUUUUAAAUAUUUUUAAAGUUAUGGGAGAGAAAUAUAUAUAUAUACGCAUAUUGAUCACAGUAGAGCUUGAAUUUUGUUGGAGUGUUAGGAAGGUUAUGUUUGGUGACUGUUUUUACGUAGGCCUUUCCACCAAUAUUCCAUUACAUUUUGUUGCCAUGUGACAGAUGGCAGCUGAGAGGCAGUCUGACACAACAGACAUGGAAGUAUGUAUGAAGCAACGGUGUAGAAGUGACUCCUCCAUGUGGAAAAAAUUGCACCCACUGACAUUCACUGUCACUUGCUUAAUCUUUAUGGAGAACAAACAGUGAAUGUCAGAAGAGUGAGGUGGUGAGUGGUGUGUUUCAGCAAUGGUGAGAGUGAUGUUAAAGACUAAUCAGGU